AACGAAGCACCAGUGCUGGGGAGCUCUCUGAAUGUCAUCACCAGCAAGAGCAAGAAGUAUUGGCAGCAGCAGGCAGCCAGGCAGGCUGGGAGUUUGCAUGGAAAUCAUGAAGUCUUUCUUGUCUUCCUCUUUUGAAAUAUUUUGGAAGGCGAGUUAAGAAUAGCUCAGAAACUGGUCUCAUUCUUUUUGUGGGAAGAAUGACCAGAAGCAUAAAAGCUAAGUCUUCCAGCAAGUGCAAGACACCUCUUUUGGUGUUUGCAGUAAACCUAACAAGAAUGAAUUGCUAUCAGUAAAGUCCUGUACCAUGACACCUAAAAGGAAGGAAAUGGUAAAGCAAAGUAAUAACUCAAAGACAGUCACCGAGGGCUUUUGUCCACCUUUAACUCAUUGUGGAACUUGACAUCAUCAGACAGUAAAUCAAGAGGUACUGACAACUGAGACUGAGUGAUGGUCCCUGCCUAGGAUUUGGAAUCUUUGCAUGAAAUAGGGACUCUAGCCACCAGCGACAAAGAAGUCAGGGAGACUGCGGUCUCUAGGAAGCACUUCCAGG
rnacentral:lncRNA from 1 species